rnacentral:lncRNA from 1 species
CUGGGUAUAGGCUUUAGCAUAAAAGAGUUGAGGAUGGUACGCAUCAACGAGACAUAAACUUGUCUUUGCCCAAAGAUGCAAGAUCAAAAAUUGGCAUUAAAUCACUAAAAGAUUUCUUGGUGAAACGCACUCAACUUGCAGAUAGCAGCUAGUCCUCAUUUAUCUUCUCCUAAUUUUGAUAUUAAGAAUCCAAUCUUCUCCUGCCGGUUUAGGAAUGGAUUUCGGCUUAUGCUCUCCUAGAGUUGACAAUGGAGUUGGUAGGUGCAGAUUUUCAGGUUCAAUGUGCACCUGAUCUGAUUAUUUCCAGAAAAGAAUUAGUUGAUAAUCAGAACCAACAAUGUAAUUCAUAAGAAGAAAACACCUUUCGCAACAAAAGUUGGGUCAUUUCAUUCAAUUAAUUCUGAUUCCAGCAAUUAAAAAUGAUUAGGCACUCCCUCAAGGUUAAUACUGAUGCAGCACUCAGAUAAAUAGCCAGUUCAUAAAGCAGAAACAAUAAGAAGUUGCAUACAAGAAGAUGGCAAAUGAACAGGCACGAUCAAUCUUUUAGCUUACAUGUUUAAGAUAAUUCUAUUUAAGUCAACUUUUAUUAAGUCAACAGAGCACAUGGCAGAGCUCAAAUCUGAAAGAUGUUUUUUGGCAACACUUUACAUCUAAGAGACCAGCUCCUGAACAACCUGUUCUAUCCCCCAUAUACUGGAUCCAAAAUCAUUUUACUGACUUGAAGAAAUUGAAUUCAUGAAUCAAUAACAUACUUACCAACACACACACAUACAAACAAUAAUUUAAUUCACAAACGAAAGCUUAGACUCCUCUCUGAAUCUCAAUAGCAUAAGAGUGAACUCAUACCUCUCAGCCAAGAUUCAUCUCCUUUGCCCCCUAUGGCGAACUUCCGUAUACUC